GACGAACGCUGGCGGCGUGCUUAACACAUGCAAGUCGAACGGAAAGGCCCUGCUUUUGUGGGGUGCUCGAGUGGCGAACGGGUGAGUAACACGUGAGUAACCUGCCCUUGACUUUGGGAUAACUUCAGGAAACUGGGGCUAAUACCGGAUAGGAGCUCCUGCUGCAUGGUGGGGGUUGGAAAGUUUCGGCGGUUGGGGAUGGACUCGCGGCUUAUCAGCUUGUUGGUGGGGUAGUGGCUUACCAAGGCUUUGACGGGUAGCCGGCCUGAGAGGGUGACCGGCCACAUUGGGACUGAGAUACGGCCCAGACUCCUACGGGAGGCAGCAGUGGGGAAUAUUGCACAAUGGGCGGAAGCCUGAUGCAGCAACGCCGCGUGCGGGAUGACGGCCUUCGGGUUGUAAACCGCUUUCGCCUGUGACGAAGCGUGAGUGACGGUAAUGGGUAAAGAAGCACCGGCUAACUACGUGCCAGCAGCCGCGGUGAUACGUAGGGUGCGAGCGUUGUCCGGAUUUAUUGGGCGUAAAGGGCUCGUAGGUGGUUGAUCGCGUCGGAAGUGUAAUCUUGGGGCUUAACCCUGAGCGUGCUUUCGAUACGGGUUGACUUGAGGAAGGUAGGGGAGAAUGGAAUUCCUGGUGGAGCGGUGGAAUGCGCAGAUAUCAGGAGGAACACCAGUGGCGAAGGCGGUUCCCUGGGCCUUUCCUGACGCUGAGGAGCGAAGGCGUGGGGAGCGAACAGGCUUAGAUACCCUGGUAGUCCACGCUGUAAACGGUGGGUACUAGGUGUGGGGUCCAUUCCACGGGUUCCGUGCCGUAGCUAACGCUUUAAGUACCCCGCCUGGGGAGUACGGCCGCAAGGCUAAAACUCAAAGGAAUUGACGGGGCCCCGCACAAGCGGCGGAGCAUGCGGAUUAAUUCGAUGCAACGCGUAGAACCUUACCUGGGUUUGACAUGGAUCGGGAGUGCUCAGAGAUGGGUGUGCCUCUUUUGGGGUCGGUUCACAGGUGGUGCAUGGCUGUCGUCAGCUCGUGUCGUGAGAUGUUGUGUUAAGUCCCGCAACGAGCGCAACCCUUGUUCACUGUUGCCAGCACGUUAUGGUGGGGACUCAGUGGAGACCGCCGGGGUCAACUCGGAGGAAGGUGGGGAUGACGUCAAGUCAUCAUGCCCCUUAUGUCCAGGGCUUCACGCAUGCUACAAUGGCUGGUACAGAGAGUGGCGAGCCUGUGAGGGUGAGCGAAUCUCGGAAAGCCGGUCUCAGUUCGGAUUGGGGUCUGCAACUCGACCUCAUGAAGUCGGAGUCGCUAGUAAUCGCAGAUCAGCAACGCUGCGGUGAAUACGUUCCCGGGGCU
rnacentral:rRNA from 1 species